CCGUCACCGGCCAUGGUGCCACCGCUGUUUUCAUCUCAAGAAUACGUCUACAGACGGUACUGCACAGUUCAUGGUGUUCGCGUUGUGUCGUGCUGCCUCGCGGACGCUGCAGUCGCCCAAAGCAGCACCGCUUCAUGCCGCUGAUGUCGUCGCCGCCUCAUCAUCACCAUCAUUGGGAGCAGCGCCACCUCGUCAUCGCUGUCUCUGGGAGCAGCGCCACCUCGCGCCAUCGAUGCUGACACCGCCAUCGCCCGAAGCAUCGCCGUUUCAUUCCAUUGAUGUCGUCGUCGCUUGGAGCACCACCACAUCGUUGAGCCCUGAUCACAGUAAAAGAUGCAACUCGCGAAUUAAGAAAUCUACCAUGGAGGCGCUGCAAAAUUAUGUUGGUGUCCACCAUUUUUGGGUAAUUCUAUCAUGAGAAAUUUAAUCAGAAGGAAGAGCUAUUUUCUUACAUGGGGAGGUAGAACCUGGAGGGAGCAGAGUGGAUUGUUGUUCUCUGCCUGAGGAGAUGGGACAACCACAUGCGCUGCUUAGGGAGGUGUGGGUGUCGAGCGAUGGAAGCGCGGCCAAUGUAGAUGAUGUCAAGCAUCAGAGCUUCAAUUAAGUUGUGCACAAUUUGUUGUCCAGUAUACCAUGGGAAGAUCCUUAUUCUAUGCCCUUCAUCUUUUCGAUGUUACGGAGGAAAAUCUAUUUAUCUUUUGUAUUUAACCUCGGUAACUUUUGAUCUCUUGUGUAAAAAUAUGCCUACAUCAGCAAUUGCACGACUGAUAUAGUAACAUGAUAUAGCAACAGUACAGUUGUACAUCUAUUCUUCAUUUAUUAUAUUUUACUCCUUUAUGAUUGCCAGAAAACAAAUCGGUUUUUUAUAUAUUACAUUAUGGCUAUAUUCCCUUUGUAAGUGAUAAAAAAUUCUGAUAACAUGCACACGCACACAAGGAAACUGAAGAAUUGUUCAACAUGGCCAAAAUAAAGGUGCAGAUGUGCUACAGUAUCUACUUGAUAAAUGUGGUAGCAGAGGGCAUACUUGUAGAAGCACAGUCUGUUUUUUUAGGAAGCCGUUGUUGUUUGCUGAAACUAGCAAAGAAUGAUUCAAGUGCAAAACGACAUGCCAAAGAUCUUCCGUCGACAAUAUACUGAUAAAAAACGUUUUCUGAUUUGUAGCUCCAGGUGGAUUAUGGUACUCUAGCUUUUUAUAUUUCCAAAAAUCAAUUUAGUAGAGUUAUGUUACUGUCAAUAGCGAUCAUAUCAUUUGAACGUCAGAUAGAAAUCUCACCUGAAAUUCAUGCCUGUAGAUAGACCAACUGGUAGCUGAUUCAUCAAGAAAGGGUUGCAUUUUAGUGACCUGAAUCAAUGCUCGUCUUUCUUUACCUCAUAUUUUUUGACAUAUAUAAAUAGAUAAGGAAAAUGCAUUGUUAAAUCCUGAGCGAUUCAAAAAGGGAUUUUAUUUUAUUGUCUACCUUCCCUCAGAUCUGUGCAUGCUAACUGCGAUUCUAACAAAAAUAACUACAGGUACACUGUUCUUUUUUCAAGAUAUUGAGCAUUGGCCAAGGUAGAACAUGCGGCUAAAUUUGGUGAAGCAGCUUGACAGCAGAUAUGACAUCAUAUCGAUCUUUCGGUUUUCCUUUUUUUCAUGAUCUGCUCCCUUUAUCUGAAACAGGGGGCAUACGUGGACUGGAUGGUGGCUUAGGUGUCAAAAAGGUGAGAUGUGCCACAGUAUCUACUUGAUCAAAACUGGUUGCUCUAUUUUGGAUUUAAUCCUGUUGGCAUACUCUUUCUCCUACUUGAAAUCACUAUGUGAGUCGUGAGUAGUAUGGCGCGGUUUAUAAUGCAGAGCUGAUGAAGAUUAUGUUCACCUAUUUAUGUAUGAAUUAGUCAAUGGGCAAACCAUUCUGAUAAUUGUUGGCGGUAGGAUGCAUAUAUUACAUACCCUUUAGUCGGCUAUACUAAUCCUCAGUUUUAUCCUUUUCUUCAGUUCCUAUAUAUGGUGUAGAUAUGCGUGAAUGUUUUGCAAUCUUCGUGCUCCUGGCAGUGCCCACUUUUUAUUGUGUAAUUUAGUCCCAUGAGAGCCUAGCUGCACUUAUGGAUCUUUAUUAUCAACCACAAAGAAACUGAUGCACAGAUUAGUUGAGCAUGUCUACUAAGGAUUUUCUCUUCUUUUUUCAUAGAUUUUAAAAAGUACAGGUUAGCCUUGAAUGAUUCAUGGAUUACUAGAUUAUACCUAAAUUUAAUUAAUUAUUAUUAACCUUGUUUUCAAAUAUCAUUGGUAUGUGCAAU